rnacentral:lncRNA from 10 species
GGCACGCAGGUCCCGCCUCCUGAGGACGGUGUCCAGCCAGCACAGAGACUGCACUCAAGGGAUGUGGGAACGGCUGAUUGAACGUGAACUGCGGUCAUUAAAUCUUUUAUGUCUGUGUUAAUAUCUACAAAUAAGCCUUAAUUUCUGUAGUUUCUGCAUAUCUCACACGGUUCCUGGCAAAUUGAAGAGUGUUUCAUGAAUUCAGGACUUUAUUGUGUUUGCUGUGAAUCAGUUUGUUUUGUACUGACGAUGAUGUUGGCUAACUCCCUUGUAACUAGUACUUAUUUGAAAUAAUGUCCUCGGGAUUA